GAAAAGCAUCCAUGAGAAUUUUGCCAUCUAAUUAUUAAAUUUCCGUAAUGUUCAUUUGCAAAUUCUAAAAAUCCUUCCAUACCGCAUAAAAAAACUGAAAAAAAAAAAAAACUCAAAUACAUAGUAAUGAUAAUUAUAAUUUUAAUAUAUAAAAAUAGUUUUACUUUGUUCCAUUAUUAAGUCCUGCGACAUUGAGGGAAAUCCAUUAAACUCUAAUUCAAUCAAAUCGUUGAAAAUAUCUCGACAAUAAUUUUCUGUUAGAUCCGUUAAAUUAGCUCUGUAAUUUUCUGUACACUGUAACUUUAAAUAUAUCUAUGAUUAAUUA